CCUACGGGCGGCUGCAGUGGGGAAUAUUGCGCAAUGGGCGAAAGCCUGACGCAGCGACGCCGCGUGAGGGAUGAAGGUCUUCGGAUCGUAAACCUCUGUCAGCAGGGAAGAACGGUCACUGUGCUAAUCAGCAGUGAAUUGACGGUACCUGCAAAGGAAGCACCGGCUAACUCCGUGCCAGCAGCCGCGGUAAUACGGAGGGUGCGAGCGUUAAUCGGAAUUACGGGGCGUAAAGCGACCGUAGGCGGUAUGUCAAGUCAAGGGUGAAAUCCCCGCGCUCAACGUGGGAACUGCCUUUGAAACUGGCAAACUGGAGUGUGUGAGAGGAUAGUGGAAUUCCAGGUGUAGGAGUGAAAUCCGUAGAUAUCUGGAGGAACAUCAGUGGCGAAGGCGACUAUCUGGCACAUAACUGACGCUGAGGAGCGAAAGCGUGGGGAGCAAAUAGGAUUAGAUACCCUAGUAGUC
rnacentral:rRNA from 1 species